rnacentral:rRNA from 1 species
UAGGGAAUAUUGCAAAAUGGGCGCAAGCCCGAUGCAGCAACGCCGCGUGGGCGAUGAAGGCCUUCGGGUCGUAAAGCCCUUUUUGAGGGGAUGAGGAAGGACAGUACCCUCAGAAUAAGCCUCGGCUAACUACGUGCCAGCAGCCGCGGUAAAACGUAGGAGGCGAGCGUUAUCCGGAUUUACUGGGCGUAAAGCGCGUGCAGGCGGAUUGGAGAGUUGGAUGUGAAAGCUCCCGGCUUAACUGGGAGAGGUCGUUCAAUACUUCCAGUCUUGAGUGCAGUAGAGGGAAGUGGAAUUCCGGGUGUAGUGGUGAAAUGCGUAGAUAUCCGGAGGAACACCAGUGGCGAAAGCGGCUUCCUGGACUGUAACUGACGCUCAGACGCGAAAGCUAGGGUAGCAAACGGG